AGCUUCGGCCGAUUUCGGCAGGGGAAAGCGGCGAAAGGGUCAGUAACGCGUAGAUACGUACCCUCGGGAUCGGGAUAGCUGCGGGAAACUGCAGGUAAUACCGAAUAAUGUCUCCGGACCAAAGAUUUAUCGCCCGAGGAGCGGUCUGCGUCCUAUUAGCUAGUUGGUGGGGUAAUGGCCUACCAAGGCAAAGAUGGGUAGCGGGUGUGAGAGCAUGGCCCGCGACACUGGGACUGAGACACUGCCCAGACACCUACGGGUGGCUGCAGUCGAGAAUCUUCCGCAAUGGGCGCAAGCCUGACGGAGCGACGCCGCGUGCGGGAUGAAGGCCUUCGGGUUGUAAACCGCUGUCAGAGGGGAGCAAAUUUUGAGCGAUCCUCAGAGGAAGCGCAGGCUAAGUUCGUGCCAGCAGCCGCGGUAAGACGAACUGCGCGAACGUUAUUCGGAAUCA
rnacentral:rRNA from 1 species